ensembl:snoRNA SNORA74 Small nucleolar RNA SNORA74
CCCAGCAAUAGGCAGCUGCAAAGGUUGCCUUGUACCUAGGCAAGUGUUCUACUGCUGGGAGAAAAGCAGCUAUGGCUUGUGAGCAUU